AGGGGCAGAGAGAAAGGAGGAAGAGGACCCAAAGCAGGCUCCACGCAGAAAGCAGCCAACCCACACUUUUUGUUACCUCUCAACUUACAAAAAUACACAUUUCGGGGAGCAGUGGGGUGGGAGAACCAGAAGGCACUACCACGAAUCUUACUGUUUUCGUUACAGAAAGUAUAAGGAUGUGAAAGAAAACACAUCAGCAACAUCUAAGGGACAGAAUUUUCCCAGCAUGGUUCCAGGAGCAAAAGGUCUACUUUCAGUAUCAAAUUGCACAUGGCCAGGUGGCAACUAUCCAAGUUAUUGUAAAACACUUUUAUACACUUCAAACAUAGGAACAUUCAAAUCAGACCACUGUUGAACAGUUUCUACAAAUUUCCAUGCCCAGGGAACCAAAAGCCUGAGGGUUCCUACGGAAUUGUGAGCAGUAACAGAAAUAACGGCAUUUCAACUGAAGUACAACUGAGUGUGCCAGUCAUGAUCCUUAUUAUGAGUUCUGAGAAGGAGACUAGAUUGAGGCAGACGGAAAGAGAAACCAACGGACAAGUCCGGGGACUGAAGGGGAAACAGCCUCUAGCGGGAAGGGGCCCUGUGGGCCCAGUGUGGACGUGAGGCACCCCACUCCAGACCUCGUAGGCACUCGGGGCACUGAAGAGUGGCCACAUGCCUUGCUUGCUCUCCAGUGUAUCACAGAGCCCACUGAGUUCUUCCCCGGCUCAAGGCCCCAUCCUGUCACCCCACCAUCUCCAAUGUCCCCUCUUGGCCCACCUCCUGCUCCACCCCGCUAGACUACAAACCACUUCUUCUGUUGAAGAGGGCUCACUUUUAUUUUUCAGUUGUCCGAUCACUGGGAUGUGGUCUCAGCUCUGGGACACGCUCAACCCACAUGUGACCUGCUCUGCAGUGGAAAGUCCCAGAGAGAUAUGCCCGCACCACUCCUCUGGGCCCCCAUCCCGGGCAUCACAGUGCCUCAGCUAUUUGGUGAUUAAACGGAAGCACAGGAAUGCUAAUAUGUAGCUUCCCAGAGCCCAAACUCAUCUGUGCAGGAGCCAGGCUCAGAGUCAAGUGCUGUGGGGUCACGCCCUCCCUGCACAACUUCUCAAGGUGGACUGGGAAUCCACUUUACCCACACUGCUUCUACCGAUGGUCUUGCAGCACGCAGAGCCCAGCAGUGACUACAUUUGAAACUUCAACCAGAUCUUUCAUCUGUUAAUCCUUGUUAUAUGGACCCUGAGAUAUUUUAUUACAGUAUUUAAUUACUGAAAAAUUCGUGAAUAGGAUCGAGAAACUCA